rnacentral:lncRNA from 1 species
CGUCGUCGUCGUCGUCCGAAGACAUUUGGUUUUCGCACUAUAACUUUAGUAUAAGUAAAUAGAAAUCUAUGAAAUUUAAACACAAUGUUUAUGACCACAAAAGGAAGGUUGGGAUUGAUUUUUUGAGUUUUUGUCGUAACAGUUUAGGAAUAAGGGGCCAAAAAGGGCCCAAAUAAGCAUUUUCUUGGUUUUUGCACUAUAACUUUAGUUUAAGUAAAUAGAAAUCUAUGAAAUUUUGACACAGGGUUUAUGACCACAAGAGAAAGGUUGGGAUUGAUUUUGGGAGUUUUGGUUUUAACUGUUUAGGAAUUAGGGGCC